UACUAAAUUUCAGCCUUUCUAGUGUUAAUGAUGCUUAUCAACCCAGAGGAAAGGUUUGGGUGCCAGAGCUGUAUCCUAGUGGAUGUUUGCCAAUGAUCUCGGUAAUCCUAUAUAAUAUAUACACUUAAUAAAAGAGAAAAUGG